rnacentral:rRNA from 1 species
CCUACGGGAGGCAGCAGUCGAGAAUCAUUCACAAUGGGGGAAACCCUGAUGGUGCGAUGCCGCGUGGGGGAAUGAAGGUCUUCGGAUUGUAAACCCCUGUCAUGUGGGAGCAAAUUAAAAAGAUAGUACCACAAGAGGAAGAGACGGCUAACUCUGUGCCAGCAGCCGCGGUAAUACAGAGGUCUCAAGCGUUGUUCGGAAUCACUGGGCGUAAAGCGUGCGUAGGCUGUUUCGUAAGUCGUGUGUGAAAGGCGCGGGCUCAACCCGCGGACGGCACAUGAUACUGCGAGACUAGAGUAAGGGAGGGGGAACCGGAAUUCUAGGUGUAGCAGUGAAAUGCGUAGAUAUCGGGAGGAACACUCGUGGCGAAGGCGGGUUCCUGGACAUUAACUGACGCUGAGGCACGAAGGCCAGGGGAGCGAAAGGGAUUAGAUACCCUGGUAGUC